rnacentral:lncRNA from 1 species
AGCCUGCUGAGCAAUCAACCCUCACUGGCGAAACCUGAAGCUCCUGAAUCUGCAUACAGGGUGCAGGGAGUAAAGUGAGUACUCCAACUCAGUGAGUAAUAACAAUAAAUGAAGACUGAGCGAUAAGAAAUCACGUGAAAACACAACAACACGCUAUAAAGAGGUAGAGUAAAACCAGUAAAGUGCAAUAAAACAGUGAAAUCUCAUAAAACACCUUAGUUCAGUAUAAGCUUCUUUAAAAUACCUUUUUAACAGUUAAACAAGUAGACAACAGGCAACUAGAAGAGAUAAACACUAAAAAUCGCCCCUCGGGCACAAUACCAACAGAAUCAGCCCAUCGGGCAACAACAUGGAACAACACCAGCCCCUCGGACUAUAUCUCAUAUCACAAUGGGUACCCGCGCUCACUGGGGGUGUACAGACUCCGGGAGGGGACCCUUACAGCCCAAUCGCAAUAUCAAGCCAUCUCGUGGCAUAAUCAAUAUGUUCUCGGCCUCAUAUCAAGCCACCUCGUGAGUACAACUCAGGCCCUCGGCUUCAUAAUCAUGAAUCAAUAUGUCAUUGUUGCAGCGUGCAGCCCGAUCCAAAAGUAUCCUCACAACACAGGCCCUCGACCUUACUCAAUCAGAAUCUCAUAAGCCACUCGGGCAACAGUAAAAUAUGAUGCUCAGACUAAAAUAUCAUUUAAAACAUCAUUUAAUGUGUUAAAACAGAGUAAACAUGGCUGAGUUAAGAAAACAGUAGAAUAAAGCAUGAUUAAGUACAAGUAUAAAGUCAAAAUAGUGAGGAAUAGUAGUAAAGAUCCCCUAAGGGUCCCAAAACAGUUAGCACGAGGCCCAAAUAUGGCAUUCAGCCCAAGACAUGAUGAUAGCAAAUAGUUUUCAAUCAAAUAUGCAGUAAAAUAGUCAAUCGGGACGGACUAAGUUACAAUUUCCAAUGGUGCAUGACCCCACACUCGUCAUCUAGCGUAUGUGUCACCUCAACAUAGCACAACGAUGUGUAAUCCGGGGUUUCAUACCCUCAGGACAACAUUUACAAUCAUUACUCACUAUGACCCGGUCUAAACUCUAGCCCGCGAUGCCUUUGCCCCUCGAAUUGGCCUCAACUUGAGUCGAAUCUAACCAAAAUAAGAAUCACGACGUUAAAAUAUGCUAAGGGAACGAAGCCCUAUGCGAAAAUAAUCAAUUUACAACAUAAAUCCCGAAUUUAACCAAAACCCGACCCCCUGGCCCACGUCUAAGAAUUCGAUAAAAUUUACAUCAAUAGAUUCCUCAUCUCCCCACGAGUUCAUACAUAUCAAAAGUCGCAAAAUCCUACCACAAAUGGCCCCUAAAAUCCCCAAGUCAAGGUAUCCAAUACCAAACCCUAGUUUUCCAAAUUUUUAACCCUUAAUUUCCAUAAUUACAAGCCUAAUCGGUGAAAUAAUUCCAUAGAAUCGAUUAUUAGGUUCAAAAAUCUUACCUCCAGACGUUAUCCUUUGAAUCCCUCUUCAAAAUCUCCCAAAAAGCUCCAAAACCGACUUGAAAUGGUGGAGAACAACUCAAAAAUCACAAAGGAAUUCUUUUAUACCUUCUGGCCUAGGAUUUUCGCACCUGCGACCUAAAUCCCGCUUCUGCGGCCUAAUCAACCGCAUUUGCGAUUUUCACUUAAAUGGCCAUUUUCGCAUCUGCAGUUAAAAACCUCGCACUUGCGCUACCGCAGGUGCGCCCACUUCACCGCUUCUGCGGUUCCUGAUGAUCUUCUUCUUGGACACAUCUGUGGCUGCCUUCCGCUUCUGCGAGCAUCGCACCGGCGGCCUCCCAACCGCAUGUGUGGUUAUAACAGCAACAAAAUGCUUCAGCUAUCCCAACUCAACUUCAAACCUUCCGCCAAUCAUCCGAAAUCACCCCGAGGCCCCCAGGACCUCAACCAAAAGCAUAAACCAAUCAUAUACCACUACCCAAACUUAUACCAAUCUUUGAAACACCUCAAACAACAUCUAAUCCAUCAAAUCACAUCGAAUUCAAGCCUAAGGUUCCAAAAUCUUCUGAAUUCUGCUUUUGAUCAAAAAGUCUACCAAACCAUGUCCGAAUGACCUGAAAUCUUGCACACACAUCCCAAAUGACACAACAGACCUACUGCAACUCCUGAAAUUCCAUUCCGAUCACUAUAUCAAAAUCUCACUUAUAAACCGGAAAACGUCGAAAUUCUAAUUUCGCCAAUUCAAGCCUAAACCUUCCACGGACCUCCAAAAUACAUUUCGAUCACGCGGUGCAAAAGUCAUAAUACAUUACACGAGGCUAGUCAUGCUCGAGAACUGGUGAGCGAAGUGCAAAAGCUCAAAACGACCGGUCGAGUCGUUAUAUUCUCCCCCACUUAAACAUAUGUUCGUCCUCGAACGUGCCUAGAGUUGUUCCGAAAGCCAUUAAAUCAUUGUGUAACCUUACCAUGCACAUGCCUGGGGGUGAUCCCACGUCACCCUAUCUCAUAUAGGUCCGAUAAUACAAUGUAACUAAAAUUUUGCAAUCCAACCUAGCCCAUAAACCCUAGAACCACAUUUCCACUUCUGAAAUCACCCACAAGAGUAGAAUCCCACAUUUAUACCCUGAAUAAGCCCGAACAAGCUAUAACAAACCAUACCUACAACCUCAUAUGCAAUUACAUGAUGUACUACAUAACUCAAACACUCGUGGCGAUAACCUCUAAUUGUAGUAGUUGCUCAAAACACCCGAAUAUUGAUAAUAAGCCUCUUAUCCAAUAAAGCCUCAUUCCAACACUCCCGUAUACUGCCAAUGAUAAAAGAAACACGUAAAAAGUCGUAACCAUUCCUCAUAUCAACCAUUAGUGAAGCCACUUCUCUCUUGACAAUGACCAUAGACAUUUCUAAGCCUAACAUCGAUAUUAUCCUUCCAACACGCUGAAACCGAAUCCGUUUGUAUUCCUCAGAGAUCCCAACGAUCUCAUCUAAUCCAACACUACUACUCUGGUGACAUGUCACAUCAAUACCAUCUAAAGCCGCAACUCGUGCAAUCCGCACACCAAUAGGCAACAAUCCAAACGUACUCAAAUCAUGAAAAUGACUCAAAUGAGUGAGAUGUAUCGUAACCUCACCAGUACCACCAUACACAAUGCUGAGAACUCGCCACACAUCUUAGCACCAGAACACACGAAUCUAACCCGAAGGGUCAUACCUCCACAUAACUUCGCUGCAAUGCGCGAUCCUAUCCGAACACUGGUUCACGUGAAACACCUCAAGUCACUAUGCUCAAAUUCGACAACCACGCACAAAUUUAUUGUCUAAAACCAAAGCAAAUCAUCAUAACCAUGGCAAAGCAAUUGACAUAACAUUACACAUCCCGAAAGGACAAAACCAAUACGCCAUCCACCGAGCAAUACCCAAUACUCUUCCCGCUCGAAUUCCACUAUGAAACCCCAAUAAGACCACACCAUAUGUGCCUAUAAUUAACAAAUCAUAACGCCUCGCAACACAGGAAAGUAACUCAUGGAUCACCUUAGAACACUAAUAGCUCAAUAAUAACCGAAUAACCACAUCCCUCGACAAUAGCAACUCGAAGUCAACAAAGCUGACUCGAUGUAGAACACACAUCCAUUCUGAUCUGCCAAUGAACCCCUUACCAAGAGUUCCUAACGCUUCUCCUUCAACUCCUUUAACUCCGCCAGUGCCAUACGAUACGGUGCCCGACACCAAAUCAAUACCGAAAUCAACAACCCUGUCCGGUGACAUACCGGCCGCAAGAAACACAUCCGAAAAAUCCCUCACCACCGGAACUGAAUCAAUGGUAGGAGUCUUUGCACUGACAUCCGUCACGAAGGCCCAAAUAAGAAGACAAUCCUUCCCAGCCAUCCGUUGGGUCUUCAAAAUGAAAUCACCCUACUGAAAACAUAAUCCGUCGAACUUCGCCACUCAAUCUGUGGCAUCCCCGGCAUAACCAACGUGCCAUCUUAGCAUAACAACCCAGAAUAACACAACAGUGAGACAACUAGUCUAUACCCAAUAUCACAUCCAAAAUCUAACAUACCAAGCAAUAAAGAUCCACUCGGGUCUCCAAACCUCCAAUAGUUACUACACAAGACCGAUAUACGCGGUCCACAACCACGACCUAACCUGUCCACGAGAACUCCCAGUCUCCAAAUCCAUACAGCAGGCGAAUCACCAUAUCUGAUCCCACAUCCACAGUCUAAAUACACAACACACCUCUAACACCCAAUUCUCUCACUAGAGGUACUCCAAAAAUUCUUCUGUGCCAACAAGUAAACUCGAAUAUCAGUCAUCGAUCCAAUAAGAGAGCGCCGCAAUACUAAUGAAGUAUCAUUAACUCAAUCACAUUGUACUUUUUUUGAAACGUAUACCCUCAUCAAGCCACAUCAAUUAGUAAUAUCAUUUCCCUAAUCAUCUGAACCGUCCAUGCCACCUAAGAAUUUGUGACCUCCCUUUCAAAACUGAAUCGUGACCUUACACAUGCAAAUCUCAACCCUACACAACAUACCGCAUAUACCAUACCAUCCUAGGAUGAAUAUGAGAACUUCAUACCCCUUCCGAGCCACAAGCAGCUACGUACUCAACUAGCCAAGAACUUUCCAUUGAUCCCAUCUAGAAGAAAAUCACUACACAUCCUCUGCUUCUCACGCUCGUAGAAAAUAUGCAUCUCUAACCGUGGCAGAAACCAUCAAGAACUCUUUGAAUUCCAUUUGCACAACACAAAACCAUCAGGACUGAAUCCUUCUAACUCAACCAAGCUACGCAGAUCACUAAAACUCAAGAGCAUUGUUGUGAAACACCUAUAGGAACUUUUUACCUUAUAAGCACCCAAAGAACUCAUCAUAUCCUUUCCCAUGCCGAUCCGACCUACUACCAAGCUAUCCCAUUUAUACAAGUUCCUCCGAAUUUACCUUCAACUUGAUACUUCUUCUCGUUAUCACAUCAAAAUCCUCGACCCAGACUCACCACAUGAGACUCGAGCAUAAUACCACACCGUCUAAGGCUCAUAAGCCGCUGACUACUUUCUCAAAUAUACCCAAAAACACCACAUUCGAAAUACUUUACUCUGAAGAGACUUCCUGCGAAUCUAAAUCCGUCACCUUCACCUUCCCCUUCCUGAUGUUGAUGUGUAGAAUCCAUAAUGAUAUAGAAAUACCACAAGUCUUGACACCCUCCAAUGCCACCUCAGUUUCUAGCCAAAUAUACAACCCGAAAAUCUCCAAUUAUUCAAUGUAAGAUCUUGAACACAUUAGAACCAUUCUUGAAAGUCAUCGACUCUGCUCAAACUGCAAUUAGACUGAUCAAAUGAACCGAACAACCUAUGCCUCAUUAGCACUCUGACACCGCAGAAUGUAACCUCACCUCAAUGCAACCAAGCAACUUUUUUUCCUAUGUACGGAGCAUCCUUUACCAAUAACAACUCAAGACAUUCUGUGAUUCUCAUACACCUAUGAAGCAUAAUAUAACCUUUGUCAAAGUUUUCCUCUACUCUAGCUAUCCUCGGUCCCAAUCCCUGCAAGCCAUAACUAAUUCACCAGUACACCUCAAACUGGAACCAACAUAGCAUAUAACUGUGCAAUCACCUAAUCAAUAGCAGACUCCCCCACUUGGAUCAAAGCCAUAGAUCCAAACAUACAAUAACUCAUAAUAUGUAUACUCUAUCAUUGCCAUAAUACCAUAGUGAAAUUAAACUCAACCCUUCAUAAGCUCGUACAACACAAACCAUCUAGUACUUUAAAUCUUCUGCAAAUCUCGCAUUCGCCCUCGCAGUAGUCAAGCCCACUCUCUUAGGCGAUCCAAAUUCAAAUUGCAGCAUAUACAUUUCACUAGUAGAGGAGAUCUUCUAUCAAUCCACAUAAGGAUCACACAACUUCAGAACACUCCGCAGGAGAUAACCCACGUGCUUCGCCUCAAACUAACAUUUCUUUAUACCUUCCACCGUCAUAAACAUUACAUAGUCGCUUAAUCUUCUUGAGUCUGAACUCACAACACAACGUGAAAUCUACUUCACUUCCUAACUAGAAAACAUGAAAAAAUUCUUCACACACCCAUAACUCGGGGCUAUACCUCAAAUCAAUAUGGAAAUCAAACACCAAAUAGUUCUUCUAUCCUCCAGCAGACCCUUCUCGUCGCUUCCAAAUCAUAUGAAUACAUCGCAGUCAUAUCAUACUCAUAACAUAGCUACCCAGUCAUCACUCCCAUUAAUAGGGACACUAUCGGACAUACAAAUCCACAAGCACAUGCUCACACAAUCAACACCUCAGUGCUCAAGAUGUAGGCAAAAACCCGGCCUCAUGUCCUCUAGACUGGCCCCAUAUCAACACACAGAGAUCACGUCUCGCCCCUCGAUCAGGGAAUCACAAGUCAUCGAUGCAUAUCUGAUACGAAGCGCUUAUGCGCGCAUACGAACACGUGGAAGGGAUUCAAAGAGUUACAUUCCAAGCUGAAUCAAGGACGCGCGAUAAGAAUUUGAGAAGGCGAAAUUUUUCCUAAAGGUUCUGCAGCCUCCCGAGGAUAAGUACAGACGUCUCUGUACCGAUCCGCGAAACUCUACUAAACCUGCUCAUGACUCGUGAGACCUACGUAACCUAGGCUCUGAUACAAAAUUGUCACAACCCUAAACCCAGACCUGGUCGUGUUGUCACUUCUCAUGAAGACAAGGCCAGUCGACACAACACCCAAUUCAUUUUAAACGAUUCAAAUAGAACAAAUAAGUCAUUAACAUGAUUAAAUCUCAAUAGAAACAGUGAAAUAGUACAAUUUGCGAAAAAAACAACACAGCCCGACAUCGGGGGUCACCAGUCAUGAGCAUCUAUUAGAAGUUUACAAGUUUGGAAAGAGUUUGCACAUUAUAUUACAUAACUAGGGCAAAGGAAAUAAAAUAGGAGGGAGAGACACUGGGCUGCAAACGCCGAGCAGCUACCUAGUGGACUCCGAAUAGCUUGCUGAGCAAUCAACCCUCACUGGCGGAACCUGAAGCUCCUAAAUAUGCGCACAGGGUACAAGGAGUAAAGUGAAUACUCCUACUCAGUGAGUAAUAACAAUAAAUGAAGACUGAGCGAUAAAAAAUCACGUGAAAACACAACAACACGCUAUAAAGAAGCAGAGUAAAACCAGUAAAGUGCAAUAAAAUAGUGAAAUCUCAUAAAACACCUUAGUGUAUAAGCUUCUUUAAAAUACCUUUUUAACAGUUAAACAAGUAGAUAACAGGCAACUAGAAGAGAUAAAGACAUAAAAACCGCCCCUCGGGCACAAUACCAACAAAAUCAACCCCUCGGGCAACAACAUGGAACAACACCAGCCCAUCGGGCUAUAUCUCAUAUCACAAUGGGUACCCGCGCUUACUAGGGGUAUACAGACUCCGGGAGGGGCCCCUUACGGCCCAAGCGUAAUAUCAAUCCAUCUCGUGGCAUAAUCAAUAUGCUCUCGGCCUCAUAUCAAGCCACCUCAUGGCGUACAACUCAGGCCCUCGGCCUCAUAAUCAUAAAUCAAUAUGUCAUUGCUGCUGCGUGUAGCCCGACCCAAAAGUAUCCUCACAACACAGGCCCUCGGACUUACUCAGUCAUAAUCUCAUAAGCCACUCGGGCAACAGUAAAACAUGAUGCUCAGCCCAAAAUAUCAUUUGAAACAUCAUUUAAUGUAUUAAAACAGAGUAAACAUGACUGAGUUAUGAAAACAGUAGAAUAAAGCAUGACUGAGUACAAAUAUAAAGUCAAAACAAUGAGGAAUAGUAGUAAAGAUCCCUAAGGGUUCCAAAACAGUUGGCACGAGGCCCAAAUAUGGCAUUCAGCCCAAGACAUGAUGAUAACAAACAAUUUUUAAUCAAAUAUUCAGUAAAACAGUCAUUCGGGACGGACUAAGUCACAAUCUCCAACAUAGCACAACGAUGUGUAAUCCGGGGUUUCAUACCUUCAAGACAACAUUUACAAUCAUUACUCAACUCGAUUCGGUCUAAACUCUAGCCCGCGAUGCCUUUGCCCCUCGAAUCGACCUCAACUCGCGUCGAAUCUAACCAAAAUCAGAAUCACGACGUCAAAAUAUGCUAAGGGAACGAAGCCCUAUGCGAAAAUAAUCAAUUUACAACAUAAAUCCCGAAUUUAACCAAAACCCGACCCCCGGGUCCAUGUCUCGGAAUUCGAAAAAUUUACAUAAACAGAUUCCUCAUCUCCCCACGAGUUCAUACAUAUUAAAAGCCCCAAAAUCCGACCACAAAUGGACUCUCAAAUCCCCAAGUCAAGGUCACCAAUACCAAGCCCUAGUUUUCCAAAUUUUUAACCUUUAAUUUCCAUAAUUGCAAGCCUAAUCCGUGAAAUACUGCCAUAAAAUCGAUUAUUAGGUUCAAAAAUCUUACCUCCAGACAUUAUCCCUUGAAUCCCUCUUCAAAAUCUCCCAAAAAGCUUCAAAACCGACUUGAAAUGGUGGAGAACAACUCAAAAAUCACGAAGGAAUUGUUUUAUACCUUCUGGCCCAGGCUUUUCGCACCUGCGACCCAAAUCCCGCUCCUGCGGUCCCGCUUCUGCGGCCUAAUCAACCGCAUCUGUGGUUUUCACUUAAAUGGCCAUUUCCGCAUCUGCGGUUAGAAACCUCGCACAUGCGCUACCGCAGGUGCACCCCACUUUACCGCUUCUGCGGUUCCUGAUGCCCUUCUUCUUGGCCGCAUCUGCGGCUGCCUUCCGCUUCUGCGAGCAUCACACAUGCGGCGUCCCAACCGCAGGUGCGGUUAUGACAGUAACAAAAUGCUUCAGCUAUCCCAACUCAACUUCAAACCUUCCGCCAACCAUCCGAAAUCACCCCGAGGCCCCCGGGACCUCAACCAAAAGCAUAAACCAGUCAUAUACCACUACCCAAACUUAUACCAAUCUUCGAAACACCUCAAACAACAUCGAAUGCAUUAAAACACUUCGAGUUCAAGUCUAAGGUUCCAAAAUCUUUCGAAUUCCGCUUUUGAUCAAAAAAUCUACUAAACCACGUCCGAAUGACUUGAAAUCUUGCAUACACAUCCCAAAUGACACAACGGACCUUCUGCAACUCCCGGAAUUCCAUUCCGACCACUAUAUCAAAAUCUCACCUAUCAACACGAAAACGUCAAAAUUCCAAUUUCGCCAAUUCAAGCCUAAACCUUCCACGGACCUCCAAAAUAAAUUCCGAUCACGCUCCAAAGUUCCAAAUCGCCUAACGGAGCAAACCAAAUCAUAAAAAUUCCAAUCCGAGGUUAUCUACGAACAAGUCAAAUCUUGGUCAAACCUUUCAAAAUUUUAAGCUUCAAAUUGAGGACUGUUCUUCCAAAUUCAUUCCGAUUAUCCUGAAAUCCAAAACCGAUGAUUUACAUAAGUUAAUAUAUCACACGGGGCUAGUCAUGCCCGAGAACUGGCGAGCGGAGUGCAAAAACUCAAAAUGAUCGAUCGGGUCGUUACAACCUUAUUAUUCAUCCACCAAUUGGCAGAAAAUACAUGUAUAGGCCUUAGUAGUUGGAAAUCGAAACAAGACUUCGAUAUUAUAGUAGACUCUCUUUUACAGAGUUUUUUUAAUUAGAACAAAAAAUCUAAUGAGAAGAACAGUGAAAAUAAACUCACAUAUGUUGAUUUAGUAUUAAUUAAUUGGCCAGUAGGUUUAGAAACAAAUAAAAAAAACAGCAAUACGAAGGGAGAGACAUAAGAAACAAUUUUAUCUUUGAGCCUCUCUUGUUAUUAUUCAAUGUAUUUUUCCCAAGUUUGAAUUAGUUGGAAUUUAUUACAAUCACAUUACACGACACAAGUGAUUGGUAAUUGGUAUAAGGUUCUAAAUCUUCAUUUUGCUUGAGGUUGUAUACAUUUUUCUUAAAUUUUAUUAUUCUUGGCUUACUCUUUUUUUAUAAUCCUGACAUUUGGAUCAAUUUGUGUGUAUCUUAAUUAAUUGGAAAAAAUUAAAAAAUAGCCAGAUUUACAAGUUGUCAUUCAAAAAUAGUCAUAGUUUCAAAAGUAAUCAAAAUUUAGCCAUUUUUCAUGUAAAGAUAAAUCUAAACGAAAACAAUGUUCAAAAUCCGGGAAAAUACUCCAGUAUAAUAUGUCACACCUCCUUUUUACUACCCCCGGAAGGGGAUAUAAGGGAGUUUUUCUCAAUUUAAGUGACAAUCGAAACAGAAUUAUUUAUAUUAAAAUCAGAGUUGCCACUUGGGAUAGUUUAUUGGUGUCCCAAGUCACCGGUUUAAAAUCUCAAAUCGAGGAAAGUUUGACUCUAAUUAUGGUCUGCGGACACAGAAAUUUAGGUAAGGAAUUCUGUUAACCCAGGAGAAGGUGUUAGGCAUUCCCGGGUUCCGUGGUUUUAACACAGUUGCUUAACUAUUAAUAUUGGCCCAAUUAUCUGAUGUAAUUACACAUUUUAAACCUAUGUGCACUUUUUAACUUUCUAACCGCUUUUAAUAUUUUUAGGAAAAUUCAAGGUUAUUUAAAACACAUCGUAAGCCACGCUACAUGAAAUGCACCCGCGGUUCACGACAGGUUUUAUUUAACAUUGUUGAAAAUUGGAGCCAGGUCACAUGAAAUGUACACCCGGAUUUUAGCAAUCACAAAUCACAACUACGUCACGAGAACCGUACCCAUAGUCACGACGAUUAUUUACACGUCGAAAGCAAAGCUGCAAAUGUUUAUGAAUACUGCUGACCUAAGCAUGCUCUUAAUGGGUUGUAACACGAAAUAUAAUAAUGAAUCAAAGUGAUUUGAGUAAACUUUAACUCUGAUAAUGACGAUUAAAGAGAAAUAUGAAACCCCUGAAGCUCAAACAUAUUAACUCUAAAUUCUACAAAAUAAUCUACGAGACUUACGAGGCAAACACAAUUAAUGUCUAUUAUAUAUAUGGCUAAACUAAUAUUUUAUACCCUAAUACCAAUUCACACCAAACUAUUGAUAAUGAAACCUUUAACAUCUUAAUUAAAGAGUAUAACAUGGAAUUUAAAGACUUCCUAUCCAUUAAGCUAACAAAAACUCAAUAUGAGCUGACAACAUACAUGAAAUAAAAUAGCAAAUACUAACAUAUCCGCAAAUCAAAACGAUAAAAGCAUUAAUCCAAACAGUUCAUAAAACAGAGAGUAACAAAUUGACAGAAGUACACUAUUAAGCCAAACGGAAUAUGAGAAAAUGAGGAACCAAACCUCAAAAUGGAUCAGAACAUUAAUUGUGAGGUAACGUUAACGCUUUGUUUGCUCCGGCAUAGCGGUGGCUGGAGAUUGAACACUACUGCCACUGAACACUGUGAAAUCUAGCUGCCUAGCCAGCUUCUUUGCCGAUAAAUCCACUGCCACCUACGGUUGCACCAUUGUAGCUGCAGCAACGGAAAUAGCCACCUCCGAUUGAACCUUGUUAGGAGGAAAUGAAAUCCCCUCUAUGACUAUUCUCCAUUCAAACACAAUAAAAUCUCACUAAACACCCCAAAAUUAAAAAAAAUAAAUCUCAUAAAUUCACUGAUUACCCAUUGCUAAUACCACGAUAAUUCCACAACAUUCAACCAAUAUAACGAGAAACUGCUCUUGAGUAUUACAUAAGCCGAACAAGACGCCUUUUCAAUUUUCAAACCUAUUUCUAAUUUGAAUUCGGAUGAUGAACCGUUACUUCUAUUACACAGAAAUUACUACUACUAACAACCAAAGACAGACAAAUACAAAUAGCAGCGAAAUCGGUAACUGUUGCUCAUUCAAACAUAAAAAACGACCAGCGAACAACCAGAUUUAAGGAAAUGAAAAUCUCUCGAGAAAUGAACGAAAAAAUCUGAUGAGGAUUGUCUUUUUGUUCAAAAUGGCGGAUUGGUUUUUUAAAGUCUAGGGAUCUAAGUUUGUUUUUUGUCACCUCCGAAUCGAAACGGUUGAUUCUGUUUUUGCCUUAUUCUUGUAUUAUGCCUGAAGAAGAUGAAGGUGUGUGUGAUUUUCAAGAUCAGAAACGACACCUUCUCUGUAGUCUUUUUAUUCGUUAGGUUCA